rnacentral:rRNA from 1 species
UACGUAGGGUGCAAGCGUUUGUCCGGAAUUAUUGGGCGUAAAGAGCUCGUAGGCGGUUUGUCGCGUCUGCUGUGAAAACCCGAGGCUCAACCUCGGGCCUGCAGUGGGUACGGGCAGACUAGAGUGCGGUGGGGGGAGAUUGGAAUUCCUGGUGUAGCGGUGGAAUGCGCAGAUAUCAGGAGGAACACCAAUGGCGAAGGCAGAUCUCUGGGCCGUAACUGACGCUGAGGAGCGAAAGCAUGGGGAGCGAACAGG